GACGAACCGUGCGACCGUUGUUCGGAAUUACUGGGCAUAAAGGGUGCGUAGGUGGCUUGUUAAGUCAGGGGUGAAAGUUUUCGGCCCAACCGGAAAAUGGCCUUUGAUACUGGCGAGCUCGAGUGCGUGAGGGGUAACCGGAACGAGCAGUGUAGCGGUGAAAUGCGUAGAUAUUGCUCGGAAGGCCAACGGCGAAGGCAGGUUACUGGUACGCAACUGACACUGAGGCACGAAAGCGUGGGGAGCAAACAGG
rnacentral:rRNA from 1 species